rnacentral:rRNA from 1 species
UCGACCUCACAUCAGGCGAGACAACCCGCUGAAUUUAAGCAUAUCACUAAGCGGAGGAAAAGAAACCAACAGGGAUUCCCUUAGUAGCGGCGAGCGAAACGGGACCUAGCCCAGCACCGAAUCCCUCGUCCUUGCCGGCGAUCGGGAAAUGUGGUGUAUGGGAGGUAACGUUCCCGAGAGUUUUGCGGUGGUGCAAGUCCCCCUGACAGGGGCUUGACCCAGAGUGGGUGCCAGGCCCGUCUC